AGAGUUUGCUUCUGGCUCAGGAUGAACGCUAGCGACAGGCUUAACACAUGCAAGUCGAGGGGCAGCGGGGUAGUGCUUGCACUACUGCCGGCGACCGGCGCACGGGUGAGUAACACGUAUGGAACCUGCCCGCAGCAGGGGGAUAAGCGGAAGAAAUUCCGUCUAAUACCGCGUAACAACGUUGGGAGGCAUCUCACGAUGUUUAAAGAUUUAUCGGCUGCGGAUGGCCAUGCGGCGCAUUAGCUAGUCGGCGGGGUAACGGCCCACCGAGGCGACGAUGCGUAGGGGUUCUGAGAGGAAGGUCCCCCACACUGGUACUGAGACACGGACCAGACUCCUACGGGAGGCAGCAGUGAGGAAUAUUGGUCAAUGGCCGAGAGGCUGAACCAGCCAAGUCGCGUGAGGGAUGACGGCCCUACGGGUUGUAAACCUCUUUUGUCGGGGAGCAAAGGGAGUCACGUGUGACUCAUUGAGAGUACCCGAAGAAAAAGCAUCGGCUAACUCCGUGCCAGCAGCCGCGGUAAUACGGAGGAUGCGAGCGUUAUCCCGGAUUUAUUGGGUUUAAAGGGUGCGCAGGCGGAGGUGCAAGUCAGCGGUCAAAUUGCGGGGCUCAACCCCGUACUGCCGUUGAAAACUGCAUCCCUUGAGUGCGCGAGAAGUAUGCGGAAUGCGUGGUGUAGCGGUGAAAUGCAUAGAUAUCACGCAGAACUCCGAUUGCGAAGGCAGCAUACCGGCGCGCAACUGACGCUCAUGCACGAAAGCGUGGGUAUCGAACAGGAUUAGAUACCCUGGUAGUCCACGCAGUAAACGAUGAACACUAACUGUUCGGCCAGAAUGAUGGCUGAGUGGUACAGCGAAAGCGUUAAGUGUUCCACCUGGGGAGUACGCCGGCAACGGUGAAACUCAAAGGAAUUGACGGGGGCCCGCACAAGCGGAGGAACAUGUGGUUUAAUUCGAUGAUACGCGAGGAACCUUACCCGGGCUCAAACGACACAGGAAUACUUUUGAAAGGAGGUAGCCCUACGGGGUCUGUGUCGAGGUGCUGCAUGGUUGUCGUCAGCUCGUGCCGUGAGGUGUCGGCUUAAGUGCCAUAACGAGCGCAACCCCUAUCGCCAGUUGCCAUCAAGUAAAGUUGGGGACUCUGGCGAGACUGCCGGCGCAAGCUGUGAGGAGGGCGGGGAUGACGUCAAAUCAGCACGGCCCUUACGUCCGGGGCGACACACGUGUUACAAUGGCAGGUACAGAGAGAAGCCAGGUGGCGACACCGAGCGGAACUCGAAAGCCUGUCUCAGUUCGGAUCGGAGUCUGCAACCCGACUCCGUGAAGCUGGAUUCGCUAGUAAUCGCGCAUCAGCCAUGGCGCGGUGAAUACGUUCCCGGGCCUUGCACACACCGCCCGUCA
rnacentral:rRNA from 1 species